CUAGAUUACUCCAAUGGUCUUCCAACUGGGCUCCCUCCUUGUACUUCAGUCUAUUCUCAGCCCAGCAGCCGAGGUGAUCCUGUUAAAGCUUUAAAGGAGGUAUGGGUUCCCUGGGGCCUGAUGUAGUGGAGGCCACAAUAAUCUAAUGGAGAAGAAGCCCCAGAGGAAAGAGAAAUUUACAAGAAAAAAAAAGGUGCCCUCUAUGAAGUGGAAGAGUUUUCCACCCACCAGCAUUGAGUCUCUAUAUUUCAACUUCCCCUCCAGGACCUAGUCACUUCUGCAUCAGGCUUUGCAGGAUACAUCACAAUUCAACUUCUGACCAUGUGUUUACUUAUGGUGAUACCAGAUGAACAAUGGAUUAUAGGAGAAUUUCUGGAAGCCAUUUCUUUACCAUGUUAACUGCCCAUAACUAUUCACAGAAGUGACAUAAAAAUGAUACCCCACUAAAUUCAAACUAAAUGUAUACCUCAGGUCCCCAUAGUCAGACCCUGCCUGUUCCCAGGGUCACUCCACAUCACCUGAUGCAAAGAGAAUUGCAACACAAGGAAGGUAGAGUAGGAAGAGGAGGCAGGAUUAUUCUGCUUUGAACUAACUGUAUCUGUUGAAUUAACUGUAUCUGUUUUCUAUUGCUGUAAAAUAAAUGACCACAAAUUUAGCAGCUUAAAACAAUGCCCAUUUAGGGCCG